ACGCUGGCGGCAGGCUUAACACAUGCAAGUCGAACGGUAACAGGGAUUAGCUUGCUAAUUUGCUGACGAGUGGCGGACGGGUGAGUAAUGCUUGGGAAUCUGGCUUAUGGAGGGGGAUAACUACGGGAAACUGUAGCUAAUACCGCGUAAAAUCUUAGGAUUAAAGGGUGGGACUUUCGAGCCACCUGCCAUAAGAUGAGCCCAAGUGGGAUUAGGUAGUUGGUUAGGUAAAGGCUGACCAAGCCGACGAUCUCUAGCUGGUCUGAGAGGAUGACCAGCCACACUGGAACUGAGACACGGUCCAGACUCCUACGGGAGGCAGCAGUGGGGAAUAUUGCACAAUGGGGGGAACCCUGAUGCAGCCAUGCCGCGUGAAUGAAGAAGGCCUUCGGGUUGUAAAGUUCUUUCGGUGACGAGGAAGGUUGAUAGGUUAAUAGCCUAUCAAAUUGACGUUAAUCACAGAAGAAGCACCGGCUAACUCCGUGCCAGCAGCCGCGGUAAUACGGGGGGUGCGAGCGUUAAUCGGAAUAACUGGGCGUAAAGGGCACGCAGGCGGUGACUUAAGUGAGAUGUGAAAGCCCCGAGCUUAACUUGGGAAUUGCAUUUCAUACUGGGUCGCUAGAGUACUUUAGGGAGGGGUAGAAUUCCACGUGUAGCGGUGAAAUGCGUAGAGAUGUGGAGGAAUACCGAAGGCGAAGGCAGCCCCUUGGGAAUGUACUGACGCUCAUGUGCGAAAGCGUGGGGAGCAAACAGGAUUAGAUACCCUGGUAGUCCACGCUGUAAACGGUGUCGAUUUGGGGAUUGGGCUUUGAGCUUGGUGCCCGUAGCUAACGUGAUAAAUCGACCGCCUGGGGAGUACGGCCGCAAGGUUAAAACUCAAAUGAAUUGACGGGGGCCCGCACAAGCGGU
rnacentral:rRNA from 1 species